rnacentral:lncRNA from 1 species
CUUAACAAAUCCUUAAUUCCACAGAUCAAGAAUAGAACUUGAAAUAAAGAAAAAGGAAAUUAAAGUGUAGCUUCUUGAAGUUUCAGUAUAAAUUUAACAGAUGAGACAAGGGACCUGAAUAGUUAUUAAUAAAUCUACAUGUCCAUAACUACAAAAGAAGAAGGAAGAAAAAGAAUAGAACUACAGUACAUAUAAAACAAAGUAAAAUGAUCGAAGGGAAUUACAAAUUAAAGGAGAAAAGAAAAUCUAAGGCUGCUUAUGCCUCUGGGUAUAGAUAUAAUCAAGGUGAGCCUCUAGCGUUCUUCUCAUCAAACAUUCUUCUUCUCCUAGACCUUCACAUUUAUCGUCCACUUCUACUUUCACUGCUGCCUUAUCCUAUAAUCACAAGUAAUUAGGGAAUCAGUUAAAUAUAUAAAAAAAGACAGCCCGGUGCACUAAGAUCCUGUUAUGCACGGGUUUGGGAAGGGGCCGGAUCAUAAUGUAUAUAUAGAAAAACACAGCCCAGUGCACUAAACUUUCAUUAUGAGCGGGUUCGGAAAAUGAACGAAAUAUAAUGGUCUAUUGUACAUAAUCUUGCCCUAUAUUUUUAUAAUAUGCUAUUCCACAGCUCGAAACCACGACCUCAUGGUCACACAAGAACAGCUUUACCACUUACGUUAAGGCUCCCUUCUGAAUCAGUUAAAUAUAUGAAUAUCUAAAUUUAGUGGUGAAAUCGGGAAUUUUAACGACCCCAUUCAAAAGAAUCUUGUAAGAAUCCGCACAUAUUUGAACCUAUAAUACAGUUUUGAAUUACCUCUCUCAUUACACUAGCUAGAAGAAGACAAGAGGGGUUGCUCUGAUGGUAAGCAACCCCACUUCCAAUCAAGAGGUUGUGAGUUCGAGUCUCCCCAAGAGCAAGUUGUGAAGUUCUUGGAGGGAAGGAUGUCGGAGGUCUAUUUGAAAACAGCUUCUACCCUCCCCAGACCCCACAAAAUAAGAUUAUACUGAAUUGUUGUUGUUGUUUAUUACACUAGCUAGAAGCUUCCCUUAUGUUGAGGAAGGGAUUCAACAAUUUGUUUAUAAACGAAAAAACUUUAUUAUUAUUAUCCUAUUUGUGUAGCAUAAAUUUCAAUUGAAUGAUAUUCAAUUAAACCUCUUUCGUAGAGGCUAAUUAACAAACUUGUGAAACAAAGGGAUUGCAAAGAAUAAUAAUAAACAUACCUUACUAUGCUCCAUCGGAGUAACGUCGUGAUAAGGCGUAUUCAUCGGCCGGGAAGAAGCGCAAGUUAGCGUGAGAAGGAGGAGGAAUGAUAUCAUGCAAAAGGUGCUAAGCUUAGCCAUAAUUGUAUUUAUUUCUUCGUCUGCUUGCCUUCUAUGUAUAUGUUGAUCACAAAAGUGAUGGAUUUAUAGAGUGGAGAACCAAGAAAGAAGGGAAAAGUGCUGUAUAUAGUAAUUUCUAAAUAUAUAACUCUAUAAUUAUCUCUCUUUUUCUUAUUUUAUUAAGAAAAGGAGAAAAUUACGGAGGGAUGACGAAAAGCUAAGGAAAAGGAUGGCCAACAUUUGUGGAUAUUUCAAAGAAGACUUCUAGAGAAAGUAAUGGAAAGAAUUAAGCACGGAGUUGACCUCUUCCGCAACCCGACAUUGGUCUACGUCGUCGAAUUAAGGUUCUCCUCUAUUGAGAUAAGAAAUACUAAUGUUUUUUAUAAGAAUGAAAGGUUACAUUAUUUAUACGAUAUUUUCGGUUUUAAAUAUUAGUCUUUUAAAAAAUUAAAUUUAUUUUAAAUAUUGAUAUUUUCAAAAUUAAUUUAUGGUUUCUUUUCAAAUCUAUCCUUACUUCUUUUGCUUCAUGUAGUGUCAAUUAAGUGAUAUGUUUAAGAAAAUAUAAUUAAGAUUAAGGCUAUAAUAUACUGUCACUUUUUAUAUGUGCAAAAACCUUAAAAACAAGUGGAGUACUAAUUCUGCAUUUAUCGUCAUAAAUCAAAUGAGCAGGGGGUAUUAUAUUAGGCUGAGGCGGAUUUACAUGGUGGCAAACGGUGUUACGGGACAUCGCUUUGUUGAAAUUUUUUACUAUUUAUAUAUAUAUAGAAAUAAAGAAAAAGGAAAUUAAAGUGUAGCUUCUUGAAGUUUCAGUAUAAAUUUAACAGAUGAGACAAGGGACCUGAAUAGUUAUUAAUAAAUCUACAUGUCCAUAACUACAAAAGAAGAAGGAAGAAAAAGAAUAGAACUACAGUACAUAUAAAACAAAGUAAAAUGAUCGAAGGGAAUUACAAAUUAAAGGAGAAAAGAAAAUCUAAGGCUGCUUAUGCCUCUGGGUAUAGAUAUAAUCAAGGUGAGCCUC